rnacentral:lncRNA from 1 species
GCUGAGUCAAUAUUUACCUGAAUGUUACAGAAGAAAGUAUAUGUUUUCUUUUCGCUGUUUGGUUUGUUUAUUGUGGGAUUUAAUUUGCAUGCGAUAUUCUCGUGUUUUAUUUUAUUUCUGUGUGAGGAAUACAGUUUCUCAGUGCUUGGUGUUUAAUGCUGGAGGAUAUAUUGUCUGUCAGAUGUAGAUAUGACGUGUUUGUAUUUCGCGGCGGUAGGCCGAUGCUCUUCUCAUUGGUUCAUUUGGCUGUUUUCUCUUGAUGAUGCGGUAUUUGAGUUCCAGCUACUCCUCUUCAGCACAAGACUUUGAGAGGGAUCUCAAGAUUGGGCCCGUCUACGAGUCGCCCAGGAUGUCCAGGCGUAGUCUCCGUCUGCACACCAGCUUGAGUCACUAUGGAGACGACAGUCUGCUUGACCCAUCUCUUCACCACAGCGCCUCCUUCAGCUGUGACAAGUAAGUACAGUAUGUCCAUGAAAAUCAGCAGGGGAUUGUUUAGCAAGAAUUAGGCCAUUAGUGCCAUAUAAUAACAAAUGCAUUUUUUUUAUGCUGACAAAAUAAGUGAUUAACUAAGAGUGUAGAAGGCAAAGAGAGCUACUAAAACUAAAAACAGCAUCAUGUGCAAUUUACAUGUUUGCAUUUAAGUUAAAGGGGUCAUAUGAUGCGAUUUCAAAAUUUCCUUUCUCUUUGGAGUGUUACAAGCUCUUGGUGAAUAAAGAAGAUCUGUAAAGUUGUAAAGACUAAAGUCUCAAAUCCAAAGAGAUAUUCUUUAUAAAAGUUGAGACUCGUCCACGCCCCCCUGAAACGGCUCGUUUAAACACGCCCCCACAUCUCUACGUCAGUAUGUGGGAAGAUUUGCAUAACGCCGCCCAGAUGUUCAUGCAAAGAAAGAAGGCGUGCCUUUUAUUCUCGUUGUAGUAUUGUUGUUGCCGCCGCUGCCAUGUCGUGUAGACGCUGUGUGUUUCACUGUGAAAAUGAAACUACUUGGUUUGGCCUUCCAAAAGAGGAAGAUAUCCGCUUCGUCAUGCCUGGAGCUGAUCCGUGCUGGUCUCUGAGGAAAUACAUCAACUUUGCACUGUGGAUCGC